GACGAACCGAGCGAACGUUGUUCGGAAUCACUGGGCUUAAAGGGCGCGUAGGCGGGCUGUCGCGUCCGGGGUGAAAUCCCGCGGCUCAACCGCGGAACGGCCUCGGAUACGGGCGGCCUCGAGGGGGGUAGGGGCAUCUGGAACUGUGAGUGGAGCGGUGAAAUGCGUUGAUAUUCGCAGGAACUCCGGUGGCGAAGGCGAGGUGCUGGACCCCAUCUGACGCUGAGGCGCGAAAGCCAGGGGAGCGAACGGG
rnacentral:rRNA from 1 species